rnacentral:pre_miRNA from 1 species
GGGGGGUGUGACCCCGUGCUCCCUGGGGGGUGUGACCCUGUGUUCCCUGGGGGUGUGACGCCACGCUCCCU